ACAAAACCAAUGUAAAUUAUUAUUUUUUUUCUUAAAAAAAUACACAAUAACGAUGUUACUGUUUAAGUAUUACAAGAUUUUUGCAUUGUGUUGUAUCAUAUUGAAUGUUGUCAUUCCUGUUUUUUGUAACUCUAAAUACAAUUCAUAUUCGGAAUACAUUGAAAAAGUUAAAAGAAGAAUUGCACGGGAAGUCGAAGAAGGAAAAACAAAUGAAAAUAUAACUCUUAAACCCGUUAAUGAAGAUCCAGUUAUAGAAGCUCGUCACCCUGAAAAGAUUGAUGAUUCAAAUAUAAAAGCUGAUCGCAUUAUUAUUAUUAAGCCAAUUACAAACAAAAUGAAAUUUAUAUUGCGCAGCGAUCGAGACUUUGAUGAAUACAUUGAAAAAGCUAAAAGUAGAUUUGCACGGCAAGUCCAAGAAGAGGAUCUGAAUAUAAAUGAUUCUCACCAUACCGAGACAAAUAUAGAAGAUGGUCAGCAUAAUUCCAGCGAAUAAUUGAUAAAAAAAAAAUUUGAAUGAUUUAAUAAUGAACUAAUUUAAAAAUAAUUGGGAAAAACCAACCCAACACAUUAUGAAAGUUGAAUAUUAAAAAAAAUGUAAUUGUAUCUAAUAGUAAAUUAUUUUUAUAAUUAUUUAUGUAAAUCAAGGGAAUUAAAAAAAUCUUUGUUUAUUUAAUAUUAAAUAUUUCAUUGUUAUCAAUAUAUAUUACUAUUGUUAAUUUUGAUUAUAUAAA